AUACGAGGGGUGCAAGCGUUGUUCGGAAUUACUGGGCGUAAAGGGAGCGUAGGCGGAGAUUCAAGCGGAUUGUACAAUCCCGGGGCCCAACCCCGGCUCUGCAGUCCGAACUGGAUCUCUUGGAUAGUUCAGGGGCAGGCGGAAUUCCUGGUGUAGCGGUGGAAUGCGUAGAGAUCAGGAAGAACACCGAUGGCGAAGGCAGCCUGCUGGGGACUUAUCGACGCUGAGGCUCGAGAGUGCGGGUAGCAAACAGGAUUAGAUACCCUGGUAGUCCGCACCGUAAACGAUGCAUACUGGGUGUCCGGGGGUUCCCCCGGGUACCGUAGCCAACGCGUUAAGUAUGCCGCCUGGGGAGUACGUACGCAAGUAUGAAACUCAAAUGAAUUGACGGGG
rnacentral:rRNA from 1 species